GUUAGCUGCCAGGAAGUGGACAGCAGACCGGAAGUGAGGCCAGACUACCCAACCGCAGGGCCCACCCCAGUCAAUCACUUCCUCUGUGAGGCUCCACUGGCUAAGUCAGGGCCAGCACAUGCGGACCAGAUGUUCAAACCCAGGAGCUUCAGCAGACGUCAAGCGGAAGCCUUAUUUUACUGGUCAGCCAUUUCCAUUCUCACUCAGUAGAGCUGAGAUAUGAUGGAGACUUCACAAUGACUGCUCAAGAGCGAAUCAGAUACUAGAGAAAACUGCUGAAAAAGCAAUGGAUCCAUGACAAAGGUCCAGUGUCUGACAAGUUGAAUGCACAGCCAAGGAAAUAAAAGCUUUAUGGAGCUGGGCAGAGAGCCAAGCCAGGAAAGUUCCUGCAUCGAGAGCAUGAGAAUCUGAACCUGACCCCCUACACCCCAGUAAUAAUGGUAUGAUUUGACUGCUUUCCCAAAGGCUCCCAGAUGUCAAGCUUGGACCUGGAGAAAUACUGCAGAGGCAAUGGAAUCUUUAAGAGGCAUCCAUCUUUUGCAGAAAGACAAGCACUUGCCUUCAUCACCGUCAUCCCCGAAUGGGUAGAAGAGAGCCACAGCCAGGUUGAUGAACACAGCCAGGUUGAAGGAGAUGCUCCCCCAGAGUGAGAUGUGCCUGGAGAACCAGAACAGGGCGGGGUUGUCUAGGAAGCAACAAGAACAGGGGUGAGAAUGGCCAGUAUAUGCUGCCGUCAACACAGGAGCCCUGCCGAGCUAACAGUAUGGGCAAUGCGAUUGUGACUGGUCACAGAAGUGCGUCUGAAGAAACCGUGACUUACUUAGAAAGCAUAUUAUAAGACCAGAUGGUAAAGGCAUUUUUCUUAGUUCCUUUUUUAUCCUUCAAGAGUGUGAGCAAAGGUGAUUCUACAGUAAAUCCCUAGAUUCUGGACCAUGCAAAUUAGGGGAACGUGGCAAAUGGUUCACGGGCCCCACUCACUGGAGGACUGAUAAUACUGAUGGGUAGGAUGGUCUUAUCCUCACGAUGUAAUUUCAUAAAAGCCAGGAGGGCAGACUCAGGUAUAUAUCUACUGGAAAGACUUUUACAGGUGCAGUUACCUGGAAACCGCAGUCUCAGCACUGCAGCUCAGCAUGCAUGGGAACCAGAGAGACAUAAUGGUUUCCCAGGCCUGCAGUCUCAGCAUCCACUGAGAGGCUGAGGCAGAAGGAUGCCUACAAGUUUGAUAGCAACAUGGGAGUCUGAGGCCAGCCUCGGUUAUGCAGUGAGACCCCACUUUUUAAAAAUGCUAUAGUAUUAUCUACACUUUUAAUUUGAAUGUUUCUAAUUAUGUUCUGGUUUUGAAGCCACGGGAGAAAAGUCCACAGUAAGAAGUCAAUAAUUUGCUGAGUAUUUCCAGAAAGGGAAAAUGCCUGUCAUCAGAAAGGAGUUAAUAAAUGUAUCUACCAGUAUUUAACAGAAACUCAGUUCUUUCCACAUCUAAAUAGCUGUGGAAAUUUGUAAUGCAAGUGGUUUAGAGGAGCUACAUUAUCAGCCUACAUUGGACGCUUUGUGGCUCCUUUGGGUCUUGUCUACCAUUCAUCUUGUAAUGUCUUGACAUAGGAUUGAAAUACAGAAUGGGAUGGACAUGGUGGUGUUUGUUCAUAACCCUAGCAUUUGGGAGGUGGAAGCGGGAAGACCAGUAGCUGAAGGUCAGCCUAAGCUACAGAGUGAGUUUGAAGCCACCCUGGGCUACAUGAAACCCUAUUUCAAACGAAACAACCUAAAAGACGAAAAUGCUAGAGUUUGGGGCUGGAGAGAUGGCUCAGCAGUUAGGACAUGCACUGUUUUUGCAGAGGGCCCAGCUCAGUUCCCGGCACCCACAUCAAGUAGGUGACCAUUGCUGUAACUCCAAAUCCAGGGCAUAUGACACCUUUCAGCCUUUGCAGGUACUAUACGCAUGUGUAAAAGACCACAAUAAGCAAAGGCACAUACACAUAAUUAAAAAUCAUAAUUAAAAAUUUAAAGACAAAAUAUCAGAGUCAGUAGGGUGAGGUUUAUGACAGGGAAAAUCGUGUACUUUUUGGAUCUAUGUCAUACCUCUGUCUGGGCCCUCUGUUGUCUGGGAUUGUGUCCCUCCUGAGUUCUCACUUUCCUCCUCUUGGGCAAUACUCCACAGUGGAGGAGGCUGUGAUGGGAAUUUUACUGGGCAAUCCCAUGAUCGUGAACUGUAGACACCUGUGCUGUUCCCACUCCUCUCUAUCUACAAGUCCACAGAAUCACUGAGACAAUAUCCUUGUGAUCAACUGCUUCUAAGACUUAAAAUACCAUGCCCACUGGUAAUUAUUUUAAGUUUUAUUUUUGUAAUAAAUAGGUAAACAAAUAAAUAAAAUGUUUGCCACAAAACACA